GACGAACGCUGGCGGCGUGCCUAAUACAUGCAAGUUGAGCGCUGAAGGUUGGUACUUGUACCAACUGGAUGAGCAGCGAACGGGUGAGUAACGCGUGGGGAAUCUGCCUUUGAGCGGGGGACAACAUUUGGAAACGAAUGCUAAUACCGCAUAAAAACUUUAAACACAAGUUUUAAGUUUGAAAGAUGCAAUUGCAUCACUCAAAGAUGAUCCCGCGUUAUAUUAGCUAGUUGGUGAGGUAAAGGCUCACCAAGGCGAUGAUACAUAGCCGACCUGAGAGGGUGAUCGGCCACAUUGGGACUGAGACACGGCCCAAACUCCUACGGGAGGCAGCAGUAGGGAAUCUUCGGCAAUGGACGAAAGUCUGACCGAGCAACGCCGCGUGAGUGAAGAAGGUUUUCGGAUCGUAAAACUCUGUUGGUAGAGAAGAACGUUGGUGAGAGUGGAAAGCUCAUCAAGUGACGGUAACUACCCAGAAAGGGACGGCUAACUACGUG
rnacentral:rRNA from 1 species